rnacentral:lncRNA from 1 species
GGAUUGUGGUGGUGGGAUUUGCUGGAGGAAACAUUGCUUCUGAACCAGCCAACCUUCUGCUCCUGAAGAAUAUCUCUGCUAUGGGCCUGUACUGUGGUCAAUACAAAGAUAUGAACUUUCCCAUCUUCUCCAAGAGCCUAUCUUCAGUGCUUCAGUACUGCCAGCAAGGGUGCAUCCAGCUAUAUGUCGGAAUGGUUUUCAAGCUGGACGAGAUAAGCAGAAGACAUCUUUAGGAUUCUUUUGUGUGUUUGGAACAGAGAG